GUAGCGUGUAUGACGAUGAUGGAAAUUACGUAAUCUCAAAGCGUCAGAGUUAGAGACUGAAAGAGUGAGCGAGACUGUCAUGUGURUAUAAGUGUGCGUGUGCGUGCGUGCAUGUGCGUGCGUGUGUUUUGCGUCAGAGAGAAAAGAGAGAGAAAGAGAGAGAGAUAAUUUUCCACGAAGUCAGUUUCCACGCGUGGAAACGUUCACGUAACACGCGUAACAUUGAUCUACCACGACGGCUCCUCGUGCGAAUAAUCCUCCUACGUUUAUCUUCUCUCCUUUGACAGCUUAACCUCAAAUCUCGAGCACACGCGGUGCUAGCACACGCCUCCGAAGCACCUGCGAACGCGUCAACACCCUUUUUCUCCUCUUCUACUUUCCGCCUAUAUUUUUUUUUUUAUUUUACUUUUCUCGCACUCUUUCUAUUUGUUAGUUGGCGCGCUUUCGCACGACCGAUCACACCAAUCUAACCUCUAAUCCUAUCCUUUAUAAAGCAAUCAGUUUUAUCACGAGAUUUCGGACAUUUUCAACUCCUUACUUUCGAUAAAUCGAUCUUUCCCUCUCUCUCUCUUUCUUUCCGUUCCUCUCUCCAUCUCUCUCUCUCUCUCUCUUUCUUUCUCUCUCGUUCGUUCGAGAGGACACGUGACUUUCCUGAAGAAGUUUCACGACGGUUAGGACAAGCAGUGUAGAUCAUCGUCGUGGAUAAUGUCAAGGUGUCCUCGAUCAGCACGUGUCUCUUAUCUGCCUUUUUUAUUCUUCGAAUUCGAAGAAAGUUAGGUGCUAGCAAUCACAUCGCCCUGAAGUUGUUGUUUGUGUACAUCAACGUGUGUGUGUGUGUGUAGUCUCGUCAGUACGUGUGCGAAUUUCAUCGGGGACGUGCACGAUUACACGUACGAUUAUUUUUUCUUUAUCGUUAAACAAUUUAAUUAAAUCAUACAAUUCUAGAUCAGUGUCGUUAAAGUUUCGUUAAUUUUUCAAAGUUAAUCACGAAUUAUGUGGAUCCAUCGAAAGAAUUCGAACAAGUGUCAAUAUGUUUUGAAAUUUUCUUGCGAAAUAUUUUGAGACAAGAAAUGAACAAACGAAUGAACGGACAUAAUUA